rnacentral:rRNA from 1 species
UGAUUAAGCCAUGCGAGUSGAGAGGUGUAAGACCUCGGCAUACUGNUCAGUAACACGUNGGUUAACCUKCCNUAAGGUGGAGAAUACUCCCGGGAAACUGGGGCUAAUGCUCCAUAGUGGAUAUHUCCUGGAAUGGUAUAUCCUCGAAAGAUCSGUCGCCUUAGGAUGGGACUGCGUCCGAUUAGGUUGUUGGCGGGGUAACGGCCCACCAAGCCUUUUAUCGGUACGGGUUGUGGGAGCAAGAUCCCGGAGAUGGAUUCUGAGACAUGAAUCCAGGCCCUACGGGGCGCAGCAGGCGCGCAAACUUUACAAUGCGAGCAAUCGUGAUAAGGAAACCCUGAGUGCCUGUCGAUGCAGGCUGUUCAUAUAUCUAAAUCAUAUGUGAAGAAAGGGCAGGGCAAGACCGGUGCCAGCCGCCGCGGUAAUACCGGCUGCUCGAGUGAUGGCCACUAUUACUGGGUUUAAAGCGUCCGUAGCUUGACUGUUAGGUCUCUUGGGAAAUCUUCGCGCUCAACGUGAAGGCGUCUAAGAGAUACCGGCAGUCUUGGAACUGGGAGAGGUAAACCGUACUUCGGGGGUAGGAGUGAAAUCUUGUAAUCCUCGAGGGACGACCUAUGGCGAAGGCAGUUUACCAGAACAGCUUCGACAGUGAGGGACGAAAGCUGGGGGAGCAAACGGGAUUAGAUACCCCGGUAGUCCCAGCCGUAAACAAUGUGCGUUAGGUGUGUCGGUAACCACGUGUUACUGAUGCGCCGAAGAGAAAUCGUGAAACGCACCACCUGGGAAGUACGGUCGCAAGGCUGAAACUUAAAGGAAUUGGCGGGGGAGCA